CGGCGAGUGAACAGGGAUUAGCCCAGCACCGAAGCCUGUGGUCGUUUGAUCACUAGGCAAUGUGGUGUUUAGGUCUGGUUGUGGAUGCACUGCUUCUCUCCAAGUCCGACAAUGAGUACGGUAUUUUAAACGUGGCCCAGAGAGGGUGAAAGGCCCGUUGGAGAGAAGGCCAGGUAUAACAGUGCUACCCUGAACAGACCUUGGAGUCGGGUUGUUUGAGAAUGCAGCCCAAAGUGGGUGGUAAACUCCAUCCAAGGCUAAAUACAAGCACGAGUCCGAUAGCAAACAAGUACCGUGAGGGAAAGUUGAAAAGUACUUUGAAGAGAGAGUAAACAGUGCGUGAAGCCGCUCAAAGGUAAACGGGUGGAGUUGAACUGCGUGCUCCGAGAAUUCAGCUGGUGACUGUGUCAUGAACUUGGUCAUUUUGAUUGURCAGCAAGGUCUGCGUAGUAGCAGGUUUUCGCCUUCGGGUGAGAAUGUGGGAUUCGUUUAUCAGGCGAUGUGCGCCUUGCUGUGCCAAUUGGUUGCCAGUGCACUUUCUCGGAGCGUUCACCACGACCGGCACCGCCGUCUGUCUGUUGUGAUCAAACCGGCUCAUCAUCGUCCUCGUGGCUUUGGUGGAUCGGGAUGGCAGGUAGCUCGCUAGCUUUUUCGCAGUUCGCUGUGGGAGUUUGCUUUCGGGUGUAAUCAGCUUGAUCAUGACAGUUCUGUAUGGUGUGUCGGAGACCGCGGCUUGUGGUGUCUGCGUGUGCAGUCUUUCGUUGGCGUGUUCGAGUUUGGUUGCCAUGUUGCCUGUUAACCCUGGCCUGGUAGUAGCUCGGAUUCGUUCGAUGGUUGAUUGCUCAUGUGACAUCAAUACAUGGCCAACAGUCUGUGGUGUUGUGGUAGAUUAUCCACCCGACCCGUCUUGAAACACGGACCAAGGAGAGUAACAUGUGCGCGAGUCAUUGGGCGUAACGAAACCCAGAGGCGCAGUGAAAGUAAAGGUUUGGCUUGUCCAGACUGAGGUGAGAUCCCGGCGUUCCUCACACGGUACUUCCAAGGAACGAGCGUCGGGCGCAUCACCGGCCCGUCCCAUGACGUAGACGGGAUCUUCGGAUCCUCGCACCGUCGGGGCGGAGCAUGAGCGUACAUGUUGAGACCCGAAAGAUGGUGAACUAUGCUUGCGCAGGUUGAAGCCAGAGGAAACUCUGGUGGAGGACCGCAGCGAUUCUGACGUGCAAAUCGAUCGUCAAACGUGAGUAUAGGGGCG
rnacentral:rRNA from 1 species